UUAAUUAUUUUUUAAAAGACUCAGACUGUUUCCGGUUGAGACGGUUCGUGAAUGACUCUGGCGGGCGCCAUCCGGCGAGGAGCCGGCGACGGGAGACCCAUCGGCCCGCCAAAGAAACGAGUCGCGUAUACACGGGAUGGGAGUAGGGACCGAAGCCCCAAGACUCGAUAAUGAUCCUUCCGCAGGUUCACCUACGGAAA
rnacentral:misc_RNA from 1 species